rnacentral:lncRNA from 1 species
GAAACAGCAUACUGUAAUACAUGCCCACUGGGGCUUGAGCUGUAAACAUUCACCCCUAGACACUGCUGUGGGGUUGGAGCCCCACAACCUGCCCAUCUGCAUGUUUCCCCUAGAGGUUUGAGCAGCAGGACACUGAAGUAGCGAGCCACACCCCCAUCCAUCACAUGCCCUGCAAGGGUGAUAAAGAAACUUUUCCUGUUUCAACUGGGGGAUCGUCCAGGAUCAUGGAAGAACUGGCAACCAGUUCGCUUCACCACCCCCAGCUUAUACUCCUCUGGUGUGUAUCCUGAACCAUUGGGACUGCUUUGACCUUAGAAUCUGGAGGAAAAAAUGCCUCAUAGCCCUCUGCACAAAGAAGCCAUCAAACUCCAAACGGUCAGGCAACUGGAGCCUCGGACAAUGACUCCCUUUUGCCAGGAACCUUUAGAUAGACCUCUGGGAAGAAUUUGACUGCUGUUUUCCCCAAAACAACACUCUCUGUGAGCAGGAAUCAGCUAAGACUGGUCAUUAUCCAUAGUCUAAUAGCAGUUAGAUGUACCCAUUCAGAGGGGGCAUGUAAUACAGGAGAGGUCAGGGAAGUGCUUGGAAGGGAAGGGUGUGGCCCCUGGCUAGGGCUCCACCCCCAGGCCUGUGCCUAUGGACCUAGGUGAGGACAGACAUUUCUGUUUCGUACCCAAUUGCUGCAAUUCUCAAACCACCCUGGCCUGUCACAAGACACCAGCAGGCAGGCACACAAGUGACUGUAUGUCAAGAGGGACACAUUGAUGUAAGGAGACACAAGCAAUUGGAUGCGGAGAGGAAUGCACUGGCUUAAGAGCACACCAACAGGUACCAGCAGACACCAGGAGGUCAUCAACGGCAGAAUGAUGUGGAGUUAGGCCAGGGUGGUCAGAGGAGAGCCUGGCACUGAACAACCCAAUUUCAGAAGGAAAAACCACCUUUUCUCUCCAUCUCCCUUCUGGCUCCCCCAUCUGUUGAGAGCUACUUCCACUCAAGAAAACCUUGCACUCAUACUCCAAGCCCACGUGUGAUCUGAUUCUUCCGGUACACCAAGGAAAGAAACUCUGGGAUACAGAAAGCCCUCUGUCCUUGUGAUAAGGCAGGGGGUCUAAUUGAGCUAACACAAGCUGCCUAUGGACCCCUAAACUAAAAGAGCACCCUGUGACACAUGCCGGCUGGGAGUUCAGCUGCAAACAUCACCCCUAGACACUGCCAUGGGGUCAGAGCCCACAGCCUGCCCAUCUGCAUGCUCCCCCUAGAGGUUUGAGCAGUGGGGCACCAAAGAAGCAAGUCACACCCUCAUUACAAGACCUGCGAGGGGGAUAAGCGAGUUUUUCCUGUUUCAGUAUUAGAUAUUUUAAAAUUAUGAAUGUGUAGAAACUCAACAUUCUUAUAGAGUUCAUACAUAGAAUUUUCCAUGAAAUAGCUAUAGCUACAUGGAAAUACAUAACUUAAAUAAUUGUUUCUGAGUUAUUUUGAAGUCAUGAAUGCUGACAUACCACACAACUAUACAAAAAUAGAGUUAUACUAAAUUAUAAUUGCUACUCUUUCUUGAUAUUCAUAGUUAAAAAUUAAAUAAUCUUAUAGACAUAUUUUUAUUUUAGACAUAUAUAAAUAGUAUACUGUUUAAUAAUGUUUUACAAUAU